rnacentral:rRNA from 1 species
UACGAAGGGGGCUAGCGUUGCUCGGAAUCACUGGGCGUAAAGGGUGCGUAGGCGGGUCUUUUAAGUCAGGGGUGAAAUCCUGGAGCUCAACUCCAGAACUGCCUUUGAUACUGAGGAUCUUGAGUUCGGGAGAGGUGAGUGGAACUGCGAGUGUAGAGGUGAAAUUCGUAGAUAUUAGGAAGAACACCAGUGGCGAAGGCGGCUCACUGGAUCGGUACUGACGCUGAGGUGCGAAAGCGUGGGGAGCGAACAGG